GAUGAACGCUGGCGGCGUGCCUAAUACAUGCAAGUCGAGCGAACAGACGAGGAGCUUGCUUCUCUGACGUUAGCGGCGGACGGGUGAGUAACACGUGGAUAACCUACCUAUAAGACUGGGAUAACUUCGGGAAACCGGAGCCAAUACCGGAUAAUAUAUUGAACCGCAUGGUUCAAUAGUGAAAGACGGUUUUGCUGUCACUUAUAGAUGGAUCCGCGCCGCAUUAGCUAGUUGGUAAGGUAACGGCUUACCAAGGCAACGAUGCGUAGCCGAUCUGAGAGGGUGAUCGGCCACACUGGAACUGAGACACGGUCCAGACUCCUACGGGAGGCAGCAGUAGGGAAUAUUCCGCAAUGGGCGAAAGCUUGACGGAGCAACGCCGCGUGAGUGAUGAAGGUCUUCGGAUCGUAAAACUCUGUUAGUAGGGAAGAACAAAUGUGUAAGUAACUAUGCACGUCUUGACGGUACCUAAUCAGAAAGCCACGGCUAACUACGUG
rnacentral:rRNA from 1 species